AUUGAACGCUGGCGGCAGGCCUAACACAUGCAAGUCGAGCGGAUGAGGGAAGCUUGCUUCCUGAUUUAGCGGCGGACGGGUGAGUAAUGCCUAGGAAUCUGCCUAUUAGUGGGGGAUAACGUUCCGAAAGGAACGCUAAUACCGCAUACGUCCUACGGGAGAAAGUGGGGGAUCUUCGGACCUCACGCUAGUAGAUGAGCCUAGGUCGGAUUAGCUAGUUGGUGAGGUAACGGCUCACCAAGGCGACGAUCCGUAGCUGGUCUGAGAGGAUGAUCAGCCACACUGGAACUGAGACACGGUCCAGACUCCUACGGGAGGCAGCAGUGGGGAAUAUUGGACAACGGGCGAAAGCCUGAUCCAGCCAUGCCGCGUGUGUGAAGAAGGUCUUCGGAUUGUAAAGCACUUUAAGUUGGGAGGAAGGGCUGUAAGCUAAUAUCUUGCAGCUUUGACGUUACCAACAGAAUAAGCACCGGCUAACUCUGUGCCAGCCGCCGCGGUAAUAC
rnacentral:rRNA from 1 species